AUUAGUCUUUUAAUUGAAGACUUGUAUGAAUGGUUGGACAAGAAAUAUACUGUCUCUGGUAUAUAAUUUGAAAUUAACUUUUAAGUGAAAAGGCUUAAAUAAGUUAGAGGGACGAUAAGACCCUGUAAAAGUUAAUACUUUUUAAUUAAUUUUGUAAAAUUGUUUGUAAAAUAUUAUUUAAUUAUAUAAGUAUUUCGUUGGGGCGACGAGAGUAUAAUUUGUAACUGCUAAUAAUUAUGAAUCAAAUAUUUUUGUUUUAGUGAUCCUAUUUUUUGAUUAAAAGAUUAAGUUACUUCAGGGAUAACAGCGUUAUUUAUUUUGAGAGUUCAUAUCGACAAAGAAGUUUGCGACCUCGAUGUUGAAUUAAAAGUUCUUUAUAAUGCAACAGUUAUAAGAAGAAGGUCUGUUCGACCUUUAAAUUUUUA
rnacentral:rRNA from 1 species